AUUGAACGCUGGCGGCAGGCCUAACACAUGCAAGUCGAGCGAGCGGCGGACGGGUGAGUAAUGUCUGGGAACCUGCCUGCUGGAGGGGGCUAACUACUGGAAACGGUAGCUAAUACCGCAUACCAUAAGAUGUGCCCAGAUGUGAUGAGCUAGUAGGUUGUGGAACGGCUCACCUAGGCGACGCUCCCUAGCUGGUCUGAGAGGAUGACCAGCCAAACUGGAACUGAGACACGGUCCAGACUCCUACGGGAGGAAGCAGGAGGGAAUAUUGAACAAUGUGCGCAAGCCUGAUGCAGCCAUGCCGCGUGUGUGAAGAAGGCCUUCGGGGUGGAAAGCACUUGCAGCGGGGAGGCGUUACCCGCAGAAGAAGCACCGGCUAACUCAGUGCCAGGAGCCGCGGUAAUGC
rnacentral:rRNA from 1 species